rnacentral:lncRNA from 1 species
UGCAGAUUCCUUGCCUCGGUUUCGUUUCUUCAUUUCUUCCAAACUAAUCUCAUGGCUUGUUAAUUCAGAUUGUAUUUUCUGUGCUUCCUGAGGCACUUGUGCUGCAUCAACUCUGUCUGCAGUGUAGGCUGUCAGCUGUUUGUCUAUAGCAGCAAGAGACUCUUGAAUUAAGCGGAGGGUUUUGUCAGUCUCCUGGGCAGAUUGAAUACUCUGUUCAAGACUCUUUUGUCUUCUCACAGCCUCCUGCUGCAGUUCUUCCCAUCGAGUAUUGAACUUCUCAAGUUUCUCAUUGAUCAGUUCAUCCAAGAUUCCACCAUCAGUUAAAGUCUGAGCUAAUUCCCGAAUCUGAUUGCGAUUAUCUUCUGGAUGUCUCAUUAAACGUUCCAAAGAAUCUAAAGACUCAGAAAUCUCUUCUGCACCUCCCUGGAUAUUUUCAGUUGCCUUCAGUUUCAAUUCCACCUCAUUUAACCAUUUGUUUUCUGCAUCCAAAUAUGACAAUAAUUCAUGCCAAC